rnacentral:rRNA from 1 species
UGUGAAGAAGGCCUUCGGGUUGUAAAGCACUUUCAGUCGUGAGGAAGGUGGUGGAGUUAAUAGCUGUAUCAUUUGACGUUAGCGACAGAAGAAGCACCGGCUAACUCCGUGCCAGCAGCCGCGGUAAUACGGAGGGUGCGAGCGUUAAUCGGAAUUACUGGGCGUAAAGCGCAUGCAGGUGGUUUGUUAAGUCAGAUGUGAAAGCCCGGGGCUCAACCUCGGAAUAGCAUUUGAAACUGGCAGACUAGAGUACUGUAGAGGGGGGUAGAAUUUCAGGUGUAGCGGUGAAAUGCGUAGAGAUCUGAAGGAAUACCGGUGGCGAAGGCGGCCCCCUGGACAGAUACUGACACUCAGAUGCGAAAGCGUGGGGAGCAAACAGGAUUAGAUACCCUGGUAGUCCACGCCGUAAACGAUGUCUACUUGGAGGUUGUGGCCUUGAGCCGUGGCUUUCGGAGCUAACGCGUUAAGUAGACCGCCUGGGGAGUACGGUCGCAAGAUUAAAACUCAAAUGAAAUUGACGGGGGGCCCCCGCACAAGCGGGUGGAAGCAAUGUGGUUUAAUUUCGAAUGCAACGCGAAAGAACCUUACCUAACUCUUUGACAUCCAGAGAACUUUUCCAGAGAUGGAAUUGGUUGCCUUCGGGAACUCUGAAGACAGGGUGCUUGCAUGGCUUGUCGGUCAGCUCGUGUUGUGAAAAUGUUGGGGUUAAGUCCCGGAAACGAGGCGCAACCCCUUAUCCUUUGUUUUGCCAGCGGAGUAAAUGUCGGGGAACUCCAGGAAGACUGCCCGGUGAUAAACCGGGAGGAAGGUGGGGGACGACGUUCAAGUCAUCAUGGCCCCUUACGAGUAGGGGCUACACACGGUGCUACAAUGGCGCAUACAGAAGGGCAGCAAAGCUAGCCAAUAGUGAGCGAAUCCCAAAAAAGUGCGUCGUAGUCCGGAUUGGAGUCUGCAACUCGACUCCAUGAAGUCGGAAUCGCUAGUAAUCGUGGAUCAGAAUGCCACGGUGAAUACGUUCCCGGGCCUUGUACACACCGCCCGUCACACCAUGGGAAUGGGCUGCAAAGAAGUAGGUAGUUAACCUUCGGGAGGACACU